UACAGAGGGUGCGAGCGUUGUCCGGAAUCAUUGGGCGUAAAGCGCGUGUAGGCGGUUACUUAAGUCGGAUGUGAAAGCCCUCGGCUUAACUGAGGAAGUGCAUCCGAAACUGGGUAGCUAGAGUACGAAAGAGGGUCGCGGAAUUCCCGGUGUAGAGGUGAAAUUCGUAGAUAUCGGGAGGAACACCGGUGGCGAAGGCGGCGACCUGGGUCGAGACUGACGCUAAUACGCGAAAGCGUGGGGAGCAAACAGG
rnacentral:rRNA from 1 species